UGGGGAAUAUUGCACAAUGGGCGCAAGCCUGAUGCAGCCAUGCCGCGUGUGUGAAGAAGGCCUUCGGGUUGUAAAGCACUUUCAGCGGGGAGGAAGGCGUUAAGGUUAAUAACCUUGGCGAUUUACGUCACCCGCAGAAGAAGCACCGGCUAACUCCGUGCCAGCAGCCGCGGUAAUACGGAGGGUGCAAGCGUUAAUCGGAAUUACUGGGCGUAAAGCGCACGCAGGCGGUCUGUCAAGGCGGAUGUGAAAUCCCCGGGCUUAACCUGGGGACUGCAUUCGAAACUGGCAGGCUAGAGUCUUGUAGAGGGGGGUAGAAUUCCAGGUGUAGCGGUGAAAUGCGUAGAGAUCUGGGGGAAUACCGGUGGCGAAGGCGGCCCCCUGGACAAAGACUGACGCUCAGGUGCGAAAGCGUGGGGAGCAAACAGG
rnacentral:rRNA from 1 species